UGCGUAGGUGGCGCCGUAAGUGGGGUGUGAAAUCCCGGGGCUUAACCCCGGGACUGCAUUCCAUACUGCGGUGCUUGAGGACUGGAGAGGAGACUGGAAUUUACGGUGUAGCAGUGAAAUGCGUAGAGAUCGUAAGGAAGACCAGUGGCGAAGGCGGGUCUCUGGACAGUUCCUGACACUGAGGCACGAAGGCCAGGGGAAGGCAAACG
rnacentral:rRNA from 1 species